rnacentral:rRNA from 1 species
GAUUGAACGCUGGCGGCAUGCCUAACACAUGCAAGUCGAACGGUAACAGGCCCUUCGGGGUGCUGACGAGUGGCGGAUGGGUGAGUAAUACUUAGGAAUCUACCCUGUAGUGGGGGACAACCCGGGGAAACUCGGGCUAAUACCGCAUACGCUCUACGGAGGAAAGCGGGGGACCGCAAGGGCCUCGCGCUAUUGGAUGAGCCUAAGCCCGAUUAGCUAGUUGGUGGGGUAACUAGCCUACCAAGGCAAUGAUCGGUAGCUGGUCUGAGAGGACGACCAGCCACACUGGGACUGAGACACGGCCCAGACUCCUACGGGAGGCAGCAGGUGGGGAAUAUUGGACAAUGGGCGAAAGCCUGAUCCAGCGAUGCCGCGUGUGU